rnacentral:misc_RNA from 1 species
AGCUAACUUUUCAUGAGAAGCACAGAGAGACAAUUCUGAAUUCAUACUUACAUUACAUUUUGGAGCAUAGAGAAGCGAGAAAGAUUCAAAAGUUUCAGCUGUCUUGUUAUCGUCCCUUGAACUGGCAGCCUGAUGACACAUUUGAUCACUCAAUGACAUUCAAGACCCUUGUAUUGGAUUCAGAGCUUAAGAAAGCAGUGUGGGACGAUUUCAACACCUUCGUGAAUGCCAAGGAGUUCUAUGGAAGGAUUGGGAAAGCAUGGAAACGGAAUUACUUGUUAAAUGGUCCUCCUGGCUCUGGCAAAUCAAGCUUGAUUGCAGCCAUGGCU